UUUGAUCAUGGCUCAGAAUGAACGCUGGCGGCAUGCCUAACACAUGCAAGUCGAACGAAGGCUUCGGCCUUAGUGGCGCACGGGUGCGUAACGCGUGGGAAUCUGCCCCUUGGUUCGGAAUAACAGUUAGAAACGACUGCUAAUACCGGAUGAUGACGAAAGUCCAAAGAUUUAUCGCCGAGGGAUGAGCCCGCGUAGGAUUAGGUAGUUGGUGAGGUAAAGGCUCACCAAGCCGAUGAUCCUUAGCUGGUCUGAGAGGAUGAUCAGCCACACUGGGACUGAGACACGGCCCAGACUCCUACGGGAGGCAGCAGUGGGGAAUAUUGGACAAUGGGCGAAAGCCUGAUCCAGCAAUGCCGCGUGAGUGAUGAAGGCCUUUGGGUUGUAAAGCUCUUUUACCCGGGAUGAUAAUGACAGUACCGGGAGAAUAAGCCCCGGCUAACUCCGUGCCAGCAGCCGCGGUAAU
rnacentral:rRNA from 1 species